CACAAGACUUCCGCGCGCUCUCUUUCCCUGCUCUCUCUCUCCGUCUAUGUGUCUCUCUGUCUCUCCCCUUCAAGAAAUAAAAUUAAAUAAAAUUAAAUAAAACUCUCUCUCUCUGGUUCUGCUCUGCACUGAAUAACUGAAGUUCAUCAGCAGCUGAACGGAGUCUACAAGGGUAAAUAAAGAUUUUGUUAUCUGAGAGUAAAUGAGAUGAGGACAUGAAAAAACACACGCAGAAAGAUGCUGGAGAAGAGACCACAGAGGAGCAAAGAACAAGAGCAAAGAGAGAAACAGAGGACAGAAAUGAAACCCAAACCAGUGGAGAGAAAAACAGACAGAAGCUUGUUAGAUGUGACAGUAUGGAGGGAAGAAGGCCAGACUUGUCAGAUGAUCCAGAGGAGCCUGUAAAGAUUGAUUCUGAUGUUCUCAAGAGCAGACAACACACCAGAGCAGACCAGGACCAGAACAUCAUCAUCAUCACUGACACAAUCUGAAACAGACAAGUGAACGAUUCUUUCCCUGAUGACUGUUGACGGUGUUUUACUGUGUUUUAACAUCUUGAUUGACUUCUGGAUCACACAGACACCUUUGUUUUUACAAAAUGAUGUGUUUUGUAUUGCACUGCCUUUAAUGUAUAAUGUAUAUAUUUGUAUUACUGUAUAUUUUGCUAUAUUUCUGUAUAACACACUGUACAUCACAUAUGCUGAAAUACUGGAUCACAGAUAUUAUGACAGCUCCAGGUAAAUAAAAAAAGAAAGAAAAGUGCA